GUCCGUAUCGAUUAGGGGUUAAAUCACUUCGUUGUGGUUGAGCAUCGCUCCGAAGAGCCGCUGGUUCGAUUCCAGCUACGGACA
rnacentral:tRNA from 2 species